AGGAAGUAAAAGUCGUAACAAGGUUUCCGUAGGUGAACCUGCGGAAGGAUCAUUAAUGAAACUUCAAAGUCGGCCAAAGGUUGUUGCUGGUGAUUAUUCACAUGUGCACGCCUUUGGUCGCAAAUCCACACACACCUGUGCAUCUAUGACUCGAGGUUGUAAUGACUGAGAGUAACUUUUAUACACUCUUGUAUGUAAUGGAAUGUCUUUUUGUGCUAUAAUGUACAAUAUAAACAACUUUCAACAACGGAUCUCUUGGCUCUCGCAUCGAUGAAGAACGCAGCGAAAUGCGAUAAGUAAUGUGAAUUGCAGAAUUCAGUGAAUCAUCGAAUCUUUGAACGCACCUUGCACCCUUUGGUAUUCCGAAGGGUACGCCCGUUUGAGUGUCAUUGUAAUCUCACUUCUACAACUUUAUUGUUGUUUGAAUGUGGACUUGGAUGUUGCCGUUUUAUCACGGCUCGUCUUAAAUGCCUGAGUGUACCCUGUUUUGCAGCGUAUCCAGUGUAAUAAACAUUUCACUAGAGUUGGUCGAAAGACCGCGUUGACUAUAUGGGCUCUAUGCUUCAAACCGUCUGCCAUGUGGACAAUUUCUUGACAAUUUGACCUCAAAUCGGGUGGGACUACCCGCUGAACUUAAGCAUAUCAAUAAGCGGAGGAAAAGAAACUAACAAGGAUUCCCCUAGUAACGGCGAGUGAAGAGGGAAAAGCUCAAAUUUUAAAUCUGGUGUCUUUGACUCCCGAGUUGUAAUCUAGAGAAGUGUUUUCCGUGUCGGACCGUGUACAAGUUCCCUGGAACGGGGCGUCAUAGAGGGUGAGAAUCCCGUAUAUGCCACGGACUACCGAUGCUCUGUGAUACACUCUCAACGAGUCGAGUUGUUUGGGAAUGCAGCUCAAAAUGGGUGGUAAAUUCCAUCUAAAGCUAAAUAUUGGCGAGAGACCGAUAGCGAACAAGUACCGUGAGGGAAAGAUGAAAAGCACUUUGGAAAGAGAGUGAAACAGUACGUGAAAUUGUUGAAAGGGAAGCGUUUGAAGUCAGUCGCAUCUGUUGGGGUUCAGCCUGGCUUUUGCCUGGUGUAUUUCCUUUCCGAUGGGUCAGCAUCAGUUUCGACCGAGGGAAAAAGACAUUUGGAAUGUGGCUGUCUUCGGGCAGUGUUAUAGCCUUGUGUUGUAUGUCUCGGUUGGGACUGAGGAUUGCAGCGCGCCAUAAAUGGCCGGGGGUCGCUCCUCUCGACACGCGCUUAGGAUGCUGGCAUAAUGGCUUUAAGCGACCCGUCUU
rnacentral:rRNA from 1 species